CCAACAGGGAUUGCCCUAGUAACGGCGAGUGAAGCGGCAACAGCUCAAAUUUGAAAUCUGGCGCAAGCCCGAGUUGUAAUUUGUAGAGGAUACUUCGGCGUCGGCCCCGUUCUAAGUUCCUUGGAACAGGACGUCCUAGAGGGUGAGAACCCCGUCUUCGAUCGGGUCGCCUUCGCCAUGUGAAGUUCCUUCGACGAGUCGAGUUGUUUGGGAAUGCAGCUCUAAGCGGGAGGUAAAUUUCUUCUAAAGCUAAAUAACGGCCAGAGACCGAUAGCGCACAAGUAGAGUGAUCGAAAGAUGAAAAGCACUUUGGAAAGAGAGUUAAAAAGUACGUGAAAUUGUUGAAAGGGAAGCUCAU
rnacentral:rRNA from 1 species